CCUACGGGUGGCAGCAGUGGGGAAUAUUGCACAAUGGGCGCAAGCCUGACCCAGCAACGCCGCGUGAGGGAAGAAGUCCCUCGGGUUGUAAACUUCUAUUGUCAGGGACGAAGCAAGUGACGGUACCUGACGAAUAAGCCACGGCUAACUACGUCCCAGCCGCCGCGGUAAUACGUGGGUGGCCGGCGUUAUCCGGAUUUAUUGGGUUUAAAGGGUUCGUCGGCGGGCUUGUACGGCAGCGGUAACAAUUCGGGUGUCAACACCGUCCUGCCGUUGAAACUGGGGGGCUGGAGUGGGCGAGAAGAAGGCGGAAUGCGUGGUGUAGCGGUGAAAUGCAUAGAUAUCAGGCAGAACCCCGAUGGCGAAGGCAGCUUUCUGG
rnacentral:rRNA from 1 species